UGGGGAAUAUUGCGCAAUGGGGGCAACCCUGACGCAGCAACGCCGCGUGCGGGACGACGGCCUUCGGGUUGUAAACCGCUUUCAGCAGGGAAGAUAGUGACGGUACCUGCACAAGAAGCCCCGGCUAACUACGUGCCAGCAGCCGCGGUAAUACGUAGGGGGCGAGCGUUAUCCGGAUUCAUUGGGCGUAAAGCGCGCGCAGGCGGCUCUUCAAGCGGAACCUCUAACCCCGGGGCUGAACCUCGGGCCGGGUUCCGAACUGGAGGGCUCGAGUGCGGUAGAGGCAGGCGGAAUUCACGGUGUAGCGGUGGAAGGCGCAGAUAUCGGGAAGAACACCGAUGGCGAAGGCAGCCUGCUGGGCCGGCACUGACGCUGAGGCGCGAAAGCUAGGGGAGCGAACAGG
rnacentral:rRNA from 1 species